GACGAACGCUGGCGGCGUGCUUAACACAUGCAAGUCGAACGGAAAGGCCCCCACUUUUUUGGUGGGGGUGCUCGAGUGGCGAACGGGUGAGUAACACGUGGGUGAUCUGCCCUGUACUUCGGGAUAAGCUUGGGAAACUGGGUCUAAUACCGGAUAGGACCAUGGUUUAGUGUCUCAUGGUGGAAAAAUUAUUGUUUUGGUGCAGGAUGAGCUCGCGGCCUAUCAGCUUGUUGGUGGGGUAAUGGCCUACCAAGGCGUCGACGGGUAGCCGGCCUGAGAGGGUGGACGGCCACAUUGGGACUGAGAUACGGCCCAGACUCCUACGGGAGGCAGCAGUGGGGAAUAUUGCACAAUGGGCGCAAGCCUGAUGCAGCGACGCCGCGUGGGGGAUGACGGCCUUCGGGUGGUAAACUCCUUUCGUUAGGGACGAAGCCGCACCUUUUUGGGGUGUGGUGACGGUACCUUUGUUAAGAAGCACCGGCUAACUACGUG
rnacentral:rRNA from 1 species